rnacentral:rRNA from 1 species
UACAGAGGGUGCAAGCGUUGCUCGGAAUCAUUGGGCGUAAAGGGCAGGUAGGUGGUCUGAUUUGUCUGGAGGUGAAAGCCUUGGGCUUAACCCAAGAAGUGCCCCGGAAACGGUCAGACUUUGAGUCUUGGAGAGGGUUGCGGAAUUCCCGGUGUAGCGGUGAAAGUGACGUAGAGAUCGGGAGGAACGACCAGAGGCGAAGGCGGCAACCUGGACAAGCACUGACACUCAACUGCGAAAGCGUGGGGA